rnacentral:rRNA from 1 species
CCUACGGGUGACUGCAGUGAGGAAUAUUGGUCAAUGGGCUAAGGCCUGAACCAGCCAAGUCGCGUGAGGGAAGACGGUCCUAUGGAUUGUAAACCUCUUUUGUCGGGGAGCAACGAGGCCACGUGUGGCCGAAGUGAGAGUACCCGAAGAAAAAGCAUCGGCUAACUCCGUGCCAGCAGCCGCGGUAAUACGGAGGAUGCGAGCGUUAUCCGGAUUUAUUGGGUUUAAAGGGAGCGUAGGCGGGCGUUCAAGUCAGCUGUAAAAUCGCGCGGCUCAACCGCGCCCCGCAGUUGAAACUGGACGCCUUGAGUUCACAACAGGCAGGCGGAAUUCGUGGUGUAGCGGUGAAAUGCAUAGAUAUCACGAGGAACCCCGAUUGCGAAGGCAGCCUGCCGGGGUGCGACUGACGCUGAGGCUCGAAGGUGCGGGUAUCAAACAGGAUUAGAUACCCGGGUAGUC